GACCUGGUGGUGAAUGGAUCACAUCCACCCCCAUUGAGCUGUUGCCCCAUAGGAUGUGAGGUGGGAGUACUCGGUUCGAUUCCGGGCUAGGUCA